AGAUGUCCUUGUUUUUCAUCAACCGUCCCACCCCAGGAGACCCUGCUGCUCAGUUGCACUGAUUGGAUAGACAAGGGCCUGCCUCCAGAAGUCACUACUAAUCCUCUUUGGGCCAACAGCUCUCUAAUUGGCCCAAUCCUCAGCCUCUUCCCCAUAACCUCCUCCCUCCUACUUCCCCAUUCUCCUCCUUCUAGCCUGUAAAUUCGCUUUCUGAGGAGAGUCUAAUCCAAGUAGAUUACGAGGCAAAGCAGUGGAUUUUAGAAGUGAGUGCCAGCUUGUUAGAGAUGCUUAAUAACUCUUGCAUGUGGAAUGCAGUAUCUGUUCUCAUAUUGGUCUAUGUGUACAUCCUGGAUAGUAAUAGUCUAGAGUUAAAGUAUUCUACCACCGUUGUGAAAACAAGGAUUUAUUCUUCAAUUUGCAAAUAAAUGGAAAAAGAUGAAAGGCAGAUUGGAUAGCCUGGUAUAUUGAUUUUUCUUUCUUUUUUGACCUUCCCUUUCACAAUGAAGAAUGAUGAAACGGAUCAUUUAAAGCAGAUUUGGGCCCAAACAGUGAACGAGGAGCACCUGUUUCAGACCAGCACACCAAGUCAACGGCAUAAUUGAUGGUCUGAAGCUCUGACUGGGAGAGGUUUAAAAGCCUUGGUCAGGUCAACAUGAACAAAUGUGAGCUUGUGGAUAAGAUUUGGGCCAAAACUUCAGCAGCACAGGCGGAUCCCUGAGUUUCACCAGGUGGCUGGUUAAUUCCAGGACUACAGCAGACGCAAGGGGCACUCCACUGGGAUGGCAGUUGGCACUGUCUUUCACAGGAGGGAGCCUUCGUGGGUCACCCUCUUCCUGCUUCACUCGGCCUGGUUCUGGCUCCUGACCAUGGCACAGAUGAAGAUCCCACCAGAAACGGUUCAAAAAUGGGCCAAUGGCAUUUCAGAGCAAUUGCAUGCAGUUGCUUUAAAAUAUUCAGGAGCUGCAGUAUUACAGAAGAAACUCAAGGAUGUGGAGCCCAUUAUCUGGAUAGAAGAUGUAGAUGGAACUGUCUUAGUCCAGGAGUUUGCAGGGGAGAUUGAGAAGAUGCUGGGGAGCAAGAUGAAGUCUGUUAAGCGGCUGGCAGACACAGCAGAAGAUGCAGAUUUAUAUCAUGAAUUUAACGCAUCUUUAGAGUUUGACUACUUCAACUCCCUGUUGAUAAACACGAUGGACGAAGAAAGCAACUACAUAGAGCUUGGUGGAGAGUUUCCACUUGAAGAAAAUGAGCAUUUUAACAAACUCCAAGUCAACACACUAAUGAGUGACAUUCAAGUCCCAACCAAUGUGUACAACAAAGACCCCGACAUUCUUAAUGGGGUGUAUAUGUCUGAAGCUCUGAAUGAUGUCUUCAUCAGUAACUUCCAGAAGGACCCGACGCUCACAUGGCAGUUCUUUGGAAGUUCUACUGGUUUCUUCAGACUAUAUCCAGGUAUCAAGUGGAUUGCAGAUCCAAAUGGAGUGGUUACCUUUGACUGCAGGAACAGAAACUGGUACAUUCAAGCUGCCACCUCUCCUAAGGACCUCAUCAUCGUGGUGGAUGUCAGUGGCAGUAUGAAAGGUCUCAAAUUGACCAUUGCUAAGCACACUAUCAACACCAUCCUGGAUACUCUGGGGGAAAACGACUUUGUCAAUAUUAUUGCAUACACCGAUUAUGUUCAUUAUGUGGAGCCCUGUUUCAAGGGCACAUUGGUGCAGGCAGACUUGGACAACCGUGAGCAUUUCAAGCUGCUUGUGGAGGAACUGCAGGUGAAGGGUGAGGGCAAGGUGAAAAAUGCUGUGAAGGAGGCCUUCCAGGUGCUGAAUGAGGCCACAGUGAAUGUGCAGGGCAGCCUGUGUAAUCAGGCCAUCAUGCUCAUUACAGAUGGAGCCAUGGAAGACUACCAGUCUGUGUUUCAGGAGUUCAACUGGCCUGAGAAAAAGGUGCGGGUUUUCACUUACCUCAUUGGCCGAGACACGACAUUCGCAGAAAAUGUGAAGUGGAUCGCCUGCAACAAUAAGGGCUACUACACCCACAUCAACACACUGGCCGAUGUUCAGGAGAAUGUCAUGGAGUAUCUUCAUGUUCUGAGUCGCCCCAUGGUCAUCAGCCAUGACCAUGACAUCAUCUGGACUGAGGCGUAUAUGGACAGUGUGCUCUUUAACAGCAUGGCUCAGAGCCUGCUGCUGAUGACCACAGUGGCAAUGCCUGUCUUCAGCAAGAAAAAAGAGACACUUAGUCAUGGCAUUUUGCUUGGUGUGGUGGGAACUGAUAUCCCCUUGCUGGAGGUCAUCAUGCUGGCCCCUCGACACAAGCUUGGAGCUCACGGCUAUGCCUUCCUCAUUACAAACAAUGGCUACAUUCUGGCACACCCUGAUUUAAGACCUCUAUAUGAAGAUGGAAAGAAGCUGAAGCCCAAACCCAAUUACAACAGUGUGGAUCUGUCUGAAGCAGAAUGGGAAGACACUGAAGAGAGAUUGAGAACAGCCAUGGUGAAAGGAGAGACAGGCACUCUAGCUUUAGAUGUAAAAGUAGCCAUUGAUAAAGGGAAAAGGCCCUUGUUCCUAAAACAUGAUUAUUUCUACACUACCAUCAAUGAUACACCGUUUAGUUUUGGCACGGUGCUGACUCGGGGACAUGGCCAGUUUAUGUUCUUCGGAAAUGUAUCUGUCGAAGAAGGCCUCCAUGACCUUCAGCACCCGGACCUCACCAUCGCUGAUGGUUGGACCUACUGUGAGACCGAUAUCGACCCCCAGCACCGUAAACUAACUCAGCUUCAGGCUGUCGUGCGAUACCUGACUGGCAAGGAGCCCGACCUGGAGUGUGAUGAGGUUCUCUUGCAGCAUAUUCUUUUCGAUGCUGUGGUAACAGCUCCCCUAGAGGCCUAUUGGACAGCCCUGAUGCUGAGUGACUCAGGGGUGGAGGACGGAGUGGAGACAGCCUUCCUGGGGACUAGGGCGGGUCUCAUGCGAGCGGUCAGAUACGUCAGCGCUGAGGAUCAGAAGGGAAUGAAAUUCCUGACCCCAGCCGACAAGGCAAACAUAUUUACAGUGGACCACUUCCCCAUCUGGUAUCGCCUGGCAGCUGAAAACAAACCGGGACAGUUCUUCUACUACAUACCUGCUGAUGACAUCAACAAAGGUAAGGACACAUUCGUGGCAGUGACCUCUGUGACUGUGACCAAGGGGAAGAAGACAGCCCUGGCUGGAGCAAUUGGAGUGCAAAUGUCAUUGGAUCUCCUGGAGAGAAGAGUGUGGGCCACAGCUAGACAGUCCAGUGACACCGAUUGCAGUAAUGUGGAAGGUUUAUGUCCUCUGAACUGUGAAAGCAUCGAAAUUAAUUGUUACCUUGUGGACAACAAUGGCUUCGUUGUAUUCUCAAAGGAGAGGUCAGAUGUUGGAAGAUUCUUUGGAGAAAUCGAUGGCUCAGUGAUGGCACAGCUUCUGAAAACAGGCUUGUUUCAAAGGGUGACUCUGUACGACUACCAGGCCAUGUGUAAGAACAGUCACCACCAUUCCAGUGGAGCUCAUCCCCCACUCAGCCCUUUCCAUGGCCUGAUGGGGGCGGUUAAGUGGUUCAUCUCGAACCUGGUGCUGUUUUUGUUGGAGUUCAACAUCUGCAGUCUAUGGCAUAAUGACUACUUGGCAGAUGCCAAGGCUGUGUACCAUGCAUCACACAAGCAGAAGAAGGUGGAAUCCAUGGUGGCAUGUAACACUGAGUACCCCGGAUUCGUUUAUGAUGCCUCCAUUAGGGAGACCAACAGCAUCAUCAAAUGUGGUCGCUGUCAAAAGAUGUUUGUGCUCCAGCAUGUGGUGAACAGUAACCUGGUGAUGCUCGUGGUGCAGGCAGACUGCGACUGCUCCCGCCAACUCAAGGUGUUGCUGGUGCUGUCAUGGCAACGUGCUGGCCUUAACUCCCUGAACAUAACACCACGGUGAAAUGCAACAGGAUGAAGUCCCAGAAGAUGCGAAGACGUCCUGAGUCCUGUCAUGCAUACCAUCCUCAUGAAAAUGCAGAGGAUUGUGGUGGAGCAUGUGAGAUAUCCCUAUCAGUGGCUCUCCUUUUCCUGUCUCUGGUCACAUCAUUGACUCUGCAGUGACUAUAAAAGACAGUCAGCCUCCAGGAGUCACGGACACGCCUAUGGAUUAUGAUCAGCAGCAGAGCUGCACAGUUCAACCAAAAACAGGCUAGUUUAUCACUGCAGUCUUUACUUUCACUCUUGCAAUGAUGAUCUGCAGCAGAAGAACGUUUGAGGAUAUGAACUUGGGUGUAGUUAUCAGGUCCUCUUCAUGAAGGCACUCACAGCUGCUCAACUAUGUUGUGGUGACCUCUACUGGUCUUCAGGUGACACUGCAGACUAUUUUACUGCUUUCCAACGGACGUUUACGUGACCCAGCAGGUGACGUCAAAGAGACGUAAGCUUUUUUUUUUUUCUUGUUAUGGAAAUUCCGAAAUUAUGCAGGUGAGAUAAAGAUGUAUUGUGAUUUUUAGUCGGUUUUACAAUUUUUUUUAUAGGAUAUUAUAAGCUAGGCCAGGUAUAGGAUAUUAUGGGCUACUUUUUUAAACUCAUGCUAUAGUUGACGAAAAUGACGCAUAACACACAUAUCAUCAUAUAUAGAAUCAUAAAGAAGAACUAUUAUGAGUACACGUAAAAACUUUAUUUUAAAUAUAGCAUACAUUAUACGUCAGUGUUAUUGCUGUUGUUUGCUUAAACGUAUGUAGAAAAUAAAUAUCACAAAACAUUUAGUGCUAAAAUUAGGCUUAUGCCUGUAGUUUUAAUUGGCUCCAAUGGGUCACAAUUACAAUUUUUAGACUACAUUGCUUGAACUAAUGGAAAGGAACGAGUUAAUCGUUCUAAUUAUGAUUAAACAGAAUUGCAUGGCCGUGUGAUUUUGAAUUUGUAUUCAAGUAAUAAGUAAAAUACGUUGCAUAUUAAUUGCGAUUGAGUAGGUUUGGGGUUCUUUUCUGCAGUUUGAACUUAAAUGUGAAGUACCCUGACAUUUAAGCCUUGUAACGCCUGUUCGCGCUGAACAUAUCUAUCAGUGCUCAGAGUGUCCAUCACAUUCGCUGUGAGACGCAAGGGAAUUUUAUCAUUUAUAUUAACACGAUGUAUUGUAAUGUCGUCACGCGGCGGUAACCACAAUUUUGGGAAAUUGCUAUUUAUUAGGAUAGGUUUUAAUUAAAGGUAAGAUAUUUUUCUUUACCUCACGCCAAAAUCUAAUAAAAUUGAAACCGGCUGUUGUUUUGGUUUAAAUAGGUCUAUAAAACAACUUAAUACAAGAUUUGGGAAGCAUAUUGGAGAAAAUCAAUGGUCUCUACUUACAGCUGCAACUUAUUUUGGCUCUGUCUAUUGCAUUUGUCAUAUCUGAAGACUGUAUUAAAGGAAACAAAUAAAGGCAAAAUCCUAUGUAAUUCCUUAAAUGUGACGAUAACUAUUAACCUGACGCUUGCUGUAUCCCGAGCCCUUUAAAAACAACGUUCCAAAUGUUCAGCUCUUUAGGCUCUUGAGUAAAACAUAUGUCAACUGUACUCAAUUUUUUUCUUUCUAAAGUUUGUCCGGGGUAUAGUGGAAUUCUGAAAAGGUUCUCCUAUACAUGGCUAACCGUACAAGACAAUCCAAUUUUGAAAAAUUAAGCUUAUAGAAAAUGCCAAAACACAGUGCCACCUGCUGGACAAAAGCUCCCGUUUUGAUUCUCGAUUCAUACCCGCACAAGCCACUCUCAAGUUUUAAAAUCAGUUCUAUUGCCGCAGAAAAUUUAAUCUAACCUAAACUUCAAUAGGCAUUAUUCCAUUCUCUUUGACAGCUAACGAAUACUUGAUUUCUAUAACAACCAACAAAUAACAGCAAAUAGAGGAUGACUAUAAAACGUUUACCCCAUUCGUUUUCCUUUAAUGUGUAUCCCCUAAAUAUGUCAUGAAGCAUACUGUAUCAGUAGACUAAACGUAGUUCUUAGUGUUACUCUUGCAGCCUGGCGUUUUGAGAUAAGCAGUCUUCAGUCCUCGAGCACAGCAGCAGUAGCUCUGGUGUGCUCCACUGAACGUACCAGGAAAGUCCUGUAACAGGUCCAUUCUGCAGUUUCUCUGACAGGAAGGUUCAGCAGUACCCCAUGCCACUGCCCCUAUCAGACAUCCAGAAUGGGCUAAAACCAUAGAAGAACCCCAAUCCGGGGCUGCAGGGGAGAGAAACCUAGCCUGGUUUCCUCUGCUUCUCUCUGCCUCCUCCUUCCAAGAUGUGCCCACACACGCGCAGACAGUUGGGAAAGAGGCCUCAUCAUGUGUCUGGGGAGAGAAGAGACAAGAGGAAUCAUUCUCCCACUCAGCUGGAACCAGAGAAUGAGGAAAAGUAGAGAGCCUCAGUCAUCUUAGAGUGUCUCCAGUGGACCACCAUGGGAAAACACUGAUAACUACUUGUUGUAGAAGGUAUUUAGCAAUAGAUGUCAGAGCAAUUGGAAGGAUAAAUUAAAGAACAAGAUUUGAACAAAUCUUCUAAUGAAGGAAAUUAAGAUGUUAGUAAAUCUGUGAUACUGAUUGGUUCCCAAU